GUUGGACUUGAGCGGUCGCCAUGCACAGAAGAUCCUCAGUCAUAGUUAACAAAAUGGAAAAAAUAGCUGUGUUUUUAAGAUUCCAGUCGUGGCCAUCAACUGCUCAGGAAAGCAGCCCAGAAUCACUUCACAACAGGUUUCCAAAGGAUCAUCAUUCAUCAGCACAGAAGGGUGGGAAAGAGAAGGCUGUUCAAAUUCUGAAAAGCCAGAGCUGCAAAGGAGGUCAAAGAUGCAGUGCAGUUGGCCCACUCAGUAGAGUUUCACUAGUGGUUCUGAUGUGGACUGAAGAUUACACGCUGGAUUGAAGUGGCCGGUCUGGAGCAGCUGUAGUUCAUCAUUCUUGCUGAUUGUGGACGAGUAAGAGCCCGCGUUGGCCCCGAUCGGCGAUCGCUGGCCAAAGCCCACCACCAGUUUGGUGAUAGGCAUUGGCUGUGAUAUCUAGUGUCGCCUAUGUGUGAAAAGGACAAGUUGAUAACAAAACCUGUUGCGCCGUGUUAUUAACCCGCGCCCGGGUGGCCCUCAGCCAACUUGGUGGGGGGGGGGGGGGGAGGCGUAUUCGGCCACACCAGGUUAUCUUGGAAUGUAACAAAGCUGGAAAGACGCAGUAAUAUCAAUCUAUAGAUCGCUAUUUUUCUUCAGAAUCAUACAGGUCAUUUUCGAUCAGGUCAUCGCUGAGGUCACUGGAGGUCACGAAAAGUAAAAUGAUGACGAAUUUUGGCCCCCGAUUUUGACAACUUCACAAAUUGGUUCAUAAUUCGGGAACCAAAGAAGCUACAGCGCCGCGGAAAAGCGAAUUCGAUAGCUCUUU
rnacentral:lncRNA from 1 species